CCUGAUGCAGCGACGCCGCGUGAGGGAUGACGGCCUUCGGGUUGUAAACCUCUUUCAGUAGGGAAGAAGCGUAAGUGACGGUACCUGCAGAAGAAGCGCCGGCUAACUACGUGCCAGCAGCCGCGGUAAUACGUAGGGCGCAAGCGUUAUCCGGAAUUAUUGGGCGUAAAGAGCUCGUAGGCGGUUUGUCGCGUCUGCCGUGAAAGUCCGGGGCUCAACUCCGGAUCUGCGGUGGGUACGGGCAGACUAGAGUGAUGUAGGGGAGACUGGAAUUCCUGGUGUAGCGGUGAAAUGCGCAGAUAUCAGGAGGAACACCGAUGGCGAAGGCAGGUCUCUGGGCAUUAACUGACGCUGAGGAGCGAAAGCAUGGGGAGCGAACAGGAUUAGAUACCCUGGUAGUCCAUGCCGUAAACGUUGGGCACUAGGUGUGGGGGACAUUCCACGUUUUCCGCGCCGUAGCUAACGCAUUAAGUGCCCCGCCUGGGGAGUACGGCCGCAAGGCUAAAACUCAAAGGAAUUGACGG
rnacentral:rRNA from 1 species